GGGGGCGGUGGCCGAGGCGAGCCCGGCCGCCGGGGACUGCCCCGGGGUCAGCGGCGCGGCGGGGCCCUGGCUCGGGGCCGGCCCCGCCCUGCCGCGGCCGUUGGGGCCCGCGGCCGUUGGCCCCAACGGCCGCGGGGUUGGGGCCGCCCGUUCGUUGCGCAGCUGAGCGGGUGCCCGCAGCGCUGCUUCCGCUCGCGGCGUUUCUGGCGCUGCCUCGGCGCGGAGCAGAUAAGGCCGUUGCGGGCAGUCAGUUGUCGUGGCUGUCACCCGCUGACUUCUGUAACGCUCUGCAUAAGGGCUUUAGAACAUUUGAAAAACUACACCCAUUAUAAUAUUACAUCAUGCAGGUUGCUGCAGCUCUGGCAACUCGACUCCAGCCAGCUGGUUUGGUUUUCCCAAAGACAUCUUGUACUGAAACAGUCUUACUACACAAGCUUUGCAGUGAUAUUGAAAUAUUCUGCUGUACUGUAUGCAUUGAAAUAAGGAUCUUUCAGUUCCCUGAAACUUUCAAUAUGUAUGAAAUGCUAACCUCCAAUUCUGGCUUAACACCUGUAGCACAGAAGAGACUGAAAAAGAAUCUAGGCUAUGUUGUAUGUUGGAUUACAGGUUGUUGGACAUUACCAAGAUCACACAUGGGAACUUAACUACAUAGCUGUAGCACAUGGUUGAAGACAAAGAUCCAGGGCUGGAGCUCUAACCUUUUAAUAGUUUCCAAGAUUUUUAGUGGCAUACUGACUAAAUGCUUAAUCAAUUAGCUGCUAACAUGCUCUAUGAGGUUCUUCUUGGAACUUUUAGUAUCAAACAGUUCUUCAUGUGGUACUGACAGGUUCUUUACUCUUCCAAGUUAACCUGUCUUGCAAGAAUUAUAUAUGAACAACACUACGUAUUUUGACAGAAUUACAUUUUUCUGGUGAGUGCAGUGCAGAAAUUCAGAUACCAAGUAACAGAUAAGAAGCGCCUCUGAAAGUCUUUUGGUGGACACAGAAGAGACUGCCAAAAGUGUAAUUCAACCUGGAAGAUAGGAGAAACACCCAAAUGGGCUUCAGCAGAAGAUAUCACCAAUGCUGAAGUGAAUUAGUUCUCCCAUUUGGGCAAACUGAGUAAUUCUACUUCACAGAGACUAAAUGUGCACAGGCUUAUGCGAACAAGGUGAGAAGUUCUGGUAUCAUAUCCCUGUUGCACUGACUGUUACAUGUCCAGUCUUAUUUUCCUUAAUCCUCUUAUUUUAUGUCACUAAGUCAUGAAUUAAGCUUAAAAUAUCACAAUUAAGCCAUUAUGUUUUCCAUUGUUUUACUGAAACUGAAAAAGUAGUCUGUACCAAAAUGUACACAAUUUAGUAGUAAUACAAAAUGUUAAUUCUGCAAGACAGAAUGUCAGUUAAAUUCACCAAAAUGAACACUGAACCACCAUUUAUUGCCAGUACAGUGUUACUUUAAAUAAUAAGAUCACUGAAUGAACAUAGAAACAAAGUAGUUCCACCUUUCCUUAAAUAAAAUGGUAGCUAUUAACAACAAUACUGCAGGAAGAUAAACAUUCAUGAUAUUUACAUGCUAUCAGAGCAUCUAGCAUGUAGUAUGACUUCGUGCUUGCACAUUAGUUUUAUGAGAUCAUUACAAUAAUAUUAAUGUGUUGAUGUACUACAAAACAACCCAUCAUGAUUUGUAUCAAAUUUGCACAUUAGAAGAGCACCUUUGCUAGUCACCCCUGUAGAAGUGCCACUGCAUUCCUGUAAGAAACCCAGCUAGGCCAAUCCACUGGUAAUUUUCUUUUUUACUAAAAAGAAAAUUUAUAGAGCCAAAAAAAAAAAAAAAAAAAAAAAAAAAAAAAAAAAAAGCUAGUCACAGAAGAAAAACUUAAUAUGCUAGACAGGACGAUGCAUUUAGCAAGCUUCCCGAUGGUGAAUCAAACCAGAAAAAAAAUGGGUUUCCUGUAUUACAUUAAGAACACCUGAGGCUGUUUCACUGGUCCAAGUACAGUAUUUUAAUACAAAAACUGUUUGUUGCAUUAACUUGUUGUUUCACUGGAUUCCCUUAAUAACUACUUCUCAUUAAAAAAAAAAAAAAAAAAAAAAAAAAAAAAAAAAAAAAAAAAAGCAAUGCAAGAGUUUUUCUUAAAAUAAAUACUCCCCCCCCAAAAAAAGUUUAAAAAGGAAUUAAAACACAAAAAAAUAUAGUAUUGAAGUACAGUGUGAUCUUCUGGCUUUAUUUUAUCUCAGUUUAGGUAGCAGAUACACACUUACUCCAGGGGAAUAAGUGUGAAACGCUAAAAAAAUUCUGAGUACGCAAACACACUGUACUUUAAGAGAUUUCUUUUAAAAGAAGUGUAAACAUCUGUCCUUGACUUCCGUUGUUUGAAUCCACUUCUAUCAAAAGAAGUUUAACAAACUGCAUUUACUUAAAGUAUUAACUGUCUGACACAACAGUCCUUUUUUGGAGUUACUAGUUUCAGAAUCUGUUUUUUUCUACCUGAACAAAAUGACAAAACAGUUGAAGACACUGUUUUUUCCUACUUCAGUGAAGGAUUAUAUUUAAUAAUUCAGCACUCCAUACAUCAAGAAUUUUCCUUAAAGGAAUAACUUAAAU